CCGUCGCGUCUCCUGCGACGAGAAACGACUCCUGCAGGCUCCGUCUGCAGCCGUCGGCCAUCGGUGUCCGCGCGCGCCCGCACACCGUACACGUCACGUCGUCUCGUUUCACUCCUUUCCUUUAUCGACGGCGCGCGCGCGACACACGCCGCACGCCACCGCCAAAUGCGGUAUCGUUAUCGCCGUUGUUACUCGCGGACCCGCGCGAUCGGCAACUACGAAUCGCGGGUAGAGGACGUCGAGGUGUUGUUAUACCCAGCCCGAAAAAAGUAUUCAAAAUCAAUCUAAAUCGUUUUCCAAUACGGAAUUCAAUUUCUUUCAAAUGCAUAUCAUCCCCGUUCCGCGAUAAUAAAUUCUGUUGCGCCACUGUACACGAUCAUAUCACGCACGCGUCAAGUCCCUCGAAAAAACAAUCUACCGCGGUGGUGGUACACGUACCUUCAAACAACUUAUUAACCCAACCUAUCGUAUUGUAUUGUCGAAUGUCCAGUCGCGACUCGCAACGGAACGUUGAUUUUUCCCCUUUUACGAUAAACUCCAUACAUACGCGUGAAGAAACCAUGGUAGCUAGCAGGACGCGGAUACUAACCUGCAGAUACACACAUUUCACGUGCUACCUACUAUAUUUUAGCUAACAGUCGAAAUCUAAGAGCCGAUCCAGAGUGAAAUGAAACUAUGAGUGACAAUCAUUUAUCUACUUACUCCCAGGAAUAACGGUUCGUCGUUUUUAUUUUGAAUAGCAACUGUAAUUAUAACAAAAUCGA